rnacentral:rRNA from 1 species
GAGUUUGAUCCUGGCUCAGAUUGAACGCUGGCGGCAUGCCUUACACAUGCAAGUCGAACGGCAGCAUGAUCUAGCUUGCUAGACUGAUGGCGAGUGGCGAACGGGUGAGUAAUACAUCGGAACGUGCCCUGUAGUGGGGGAUAACUAGUCGAAAGAUUAGCUAAUACCGCAUACGACCUGAGGGUGAAAGUGGGGGACCGCAAGGCCUCAUGCUAUAGGAGCGGCCGAUUGUCUGAUUAGCUAGUUGGUGGGGUAAAGGCCCACCAAGGCGACGAUCAGUAGCUGGUCUGAGAGGACGAUCAGCCACACUGGGACUGAGACACGGCCCAGACUCCUACGGGAGGCAGCAGUGGGGAAUUUUGGACAAUGGGCGAAAGCCUGAUCCAGCAAUGCCGCGUGUGUGAAGAAGGCCUCGGUUCG